UACGUAGGGUGCAAGCGUUGUCCGGAUUUAUUGGGCGUAAAGAGCUCGUAGGCGGUCAGUCACGUCGGAUGUGAAAACUCGGGGCUUAACUCCGGGCCUGCAUUCGAUACGGGCUGACUAGAGUGUUGUAGGGGAGACUGGAACUCCUGGUGUAGCGGUGAAAUGCGUAGAUAUGUCAUAGAACACCGAUUGCGAAGGCAGCUGGCUAACCUAAAUUUGACGCUGAGGCACGAAAGCGUGGGUAGCAAACAGG
rnacentral:rRNA from 1 species